AUGGCUGGCGGGGACGAGCAUGAGCAUGACGCGCCGGGUCGGCUGGAGAGCACCCUGACGGACAAGUCGGCGCCGCUGGCGGAGCCCGCGUGGGCGGCGGGAGCGGUCGAGCUCCGGCUGCUGUCGCGGCUGGCGGCGCCCGCGGUAGUGGUGUACAUGAUCAACUACGUCAUGUCCAUGUCCACGCAGAUCUUCUCCGGCCACCUCGGGAACCUGGAGCUCGCCGCCGCCUCGCUCGGCAACACCGGCGUCCAGACCUUCGCCUAUGGCCUCAUGGUACGUGCGGACUCUCUAGCUCCUCCCGUCUGUGUUUCUCUGCCCAUUUACUGA
rnacentral:rRNA from 1 species